UGGGGAAUAUUGGACAAUGGGCGCAAGCCUGAUCCAGCCAUGCCGCGUGGGUGAAGAAGGCCUUCGGGUUGUAAAGCCCUGUUGUCCGGAAAGAAAAGCUUCGGGUUAAUACCCCGGGGUUAUGACGGUACCGGAAGAAUAAGCACCGGCUAACUUCGUGCCAGCAGCCGCGGUAAUACGAAGGGUGCAAGCGUUACUCGGAAUUACUGGGCGUAAAGCGUGCGUAGGUGGUUUGUUAAGUCUGAUGUGAAAGCCCUGGGCUCAACCUGGGAAUUGCAUUGGAUACUGGCAGGCUAGAGUGCGGUAGAGGGUAGUGGAAUUCCCGGUGUAGCAGUGAAAUGCGUAGAGAUCGGGAGGAACACCAGUGGCGAAGGCGACUACCUGGACCAGCACUGACACUGAGGCACGAAAGCGUGGGGAGCAAACA
rnacentral:rRNA from 1 species